rnacentral:snRNA from 1 species
GGAUGUGAGGCUGAUCUCCCUACACCAUCUGUCACUCCAUUGAUUGCCAGGGUUGGUUUGGCUGGUCUGGCUGGCUCGGCGCUGUUCCUUUCCUCCCUCAGCCCUCUGUGUACUCCCUCCCAAAACUGCACUAGGUUGAAGGGACAGACACCCCCGAUAGAGGAGGGCUAUUUCCUUGGUCAAGGGUAUAAAAGUAGCUGCACUCCCCUGCUAGGACCGCCAAACAAGUUCUCAAGAUUCAAAUACCUUUUGAUUAUUAAAUCUAACAUGGGAAGUAAAAACGACAUACUCAAAAGUGAAGAUUCGUUAUGU